GACAGAGGGGGCAAGCGUUGCUCGGAAUUACUGGGCUUAAAGGGUGCGUAGGCUGCGCUAUAAGUCGGGUGUGAAAUCCCUCAGCUCAACUGAGGAACUGCGCCCGAUACUGUAGUGCUUGAGGAGGAUAGAGGUGAGCGGAACUAGCAGUGGAGCGGUGAAAUGCGUUGAUAUUGCUGGGAACACCCGUGGCGAAAGCGGCUCACUGGGUCCUUUCUGACGCUGAGGCACGAAAGCUAGGGGAGCGAACGGG
rnacentral:rRNA from 1 species